GCAGGCGGUUGGUCGGGAUCAUUGGGCGUAAGCGCGUGUAGGCGGCUUGGCAAGUCGGUUGUGAAAGCCCGGGGCCCAACCCCGGAAUUGCAGCCGAUACUGUCUGGCUAGAGUCCCGGAGAGGAAGGCAGAAUUCCCGGUGUAGGGGUGAAAUCCGUAGAUAUCGGGAGGAAUACCAGCGGCGAAGGCGGCCUUCUGGACGGUGACUGACGCUGAGACGCGAAAGCGUGGGGAGCAAACAGGAUUAGAUACCCUGGUAGUCCACGCCGUAAACGAUGAGAACUAGAUGUCGGGAGGAUUUAGCCUUUCGGUGUCGCAGCUAACGCGUUAAGUUCUCCGCCUGGGGAGUACGCCGGCAACGGUAAAACUCAAAGGAAUUGACGGGGACCCGCACAAGCGGUGGAGCAUGUGGUUUAAUUCGAUGCAACGCGAAGAACCUUACCAGCCCUUGACAUCCUCGGAACUUUGCAGAGAUGCAUUGGUGCCUUCGGGAAUCGAGUGACAGGUGCUGCAUGG
rnacentral:rRNA from 1 species